CAGUCGCCACGGGAAUACGUAGGGUGCGAGCGUUAAUCGGAAUUACUGGGCGUAAAGCGUGCGCAGGCGGUUGUGUAAGACAGGUGUGAAAUCCCCGGGCUUAACCUGGGAACUGCGCUUGUGACUGCACAGCUAGAGUAUGGCAGAGGGGGGUGGAAUUCCACGUGUAGCAGUGAAAUGCGUAGAGAUGAGGAGGAACACCGAUGGCGAAGGCAGCCCCCUGGGCCAAUACUGACGCUCAUGCACGAAAGCGUGGGGAGCGAACAGGAUUAGAUACCCCUGUAGUCCCUGUCUCUUAUAC
rnacentral:rRNA from 1 species